ensembl:lncRNA LINC02691 long intergenic non-protein coding RNA 2691
GUCCUGGGGCUGCUUCUGCUCUGAUGAAGGCACCCACUGUCACUGUCCCGGCCCUCGCUGAGUGUUCCCGGACCCGUGGGCCCGCGUCUGUGCCAGGCCUUGGGGAGCUCCAGCCUCGGAGCCUCUUCCCGUUCUCAGACCUCAGUGCGAGGAGGAAAUCGGGUGCCUAGUGGGGCACUACCUGUCUGGAAGUAUUUUACACGAAGUUUAAGCCUUGAGAUUUCCUGGAGCAGGACCUCUGAAGUCACCAUCACAAAUGGCAGGCCCACACAAGGACUGAUUUACUUCUGACUCACCCAUGGCCUUCAGGCUUAGAGUUGGGGCCUUGUCGGAUUCCUCUCUCUUACCAACUCUGGGCUUUGACUCUGUUGUCCCUAAUGCCAUGCUGAUAAAUAAUUAAUAACUGGCUCUUCAUAAAAAAAAACAGUUUUGAUCUGUAGCACCUGCCAAUUCCCAUGGUGUAAACACUCCUGCCAUGGCUGACUUCAAGUUACCAACACAACAUCACUGAGUGUGGGAUUGGAAAAAGAUGCCCAUGGCUGGCUCUUAAGAGUCCUCUGAGCCUUGCUGGUUCUCCCUCACCUGCCAUUGAGGGGGCUGAUGGGUGCAACAGUCAUUCCUGAGGCUGCAAAGUUCUUUAAAGCAGAAGCAGCUGACUCUUGCUUAUGUUUUGCAGUACUUGCUGGGCUCUCAACUCCUCCAAGGUUUUGGCCUGGUAGUGCAUUCUUUGCUACCUGAUUUGCUCUUUUCUGCUUUAAAGAAGAUUGGAAAAAAAUUUUUUUUUUGAGACAGGGUCUCACUCUGUCACCUAGGCUGAUCGUGGCUCACUGCAUCCUCCACCUCUCAGGCUCAAGGGAUCCUCCUACCUCAGCCCCCCAAGUAGCUAAGACCACAGGUGUGCGCCACCACAUUAGGCUAGGUUAUUAUUAUUUUUUUUUUGUAUUUUUGGUAGUAGAGACGGGGUUUCUCUAUAUUGUCCAGGCUGGUCCUGAGCUCCUGGCCACGAGUGAGCCACCCACCUUGACCUCCCAAAGUGCUGGGAUUAUAGGCAUGGGCCACCAUGCCUGGCCAAUUGAAAUAUUUUAAUCCAGCUUUUCUAGUUGUGUUCAGUGGAAGAGUUGGUCCUAGUCACUAAUCUGCUACUUAUGGACAGAGACAUCUCCUAUUUUCUGUUGUAAGGACAGGAAAAAGCAGAAAAUAUAGAAAAGGAAAUAAAGAGCAACCAUCUCUCAAUAGUACUGCUGCCCAACAAGAACACUGCUGACAUUUGGAAACUGUUUUCCAAUUUGAUUCUUAUUGGAAAGCAUAACAACCAGCCAGGGCCUGUGCUGCUGGAGCGGGCAGUUAUGUGCAGGGAGACAGCUGGUUACGGCUGGCUCCUGGCCUCGACGGAGCUUCUCAGCCUCUUGGAGCCUCUGUCCCCUCAGCUGCUGAAGGAACACAUCUCCUGCACUUCUCAAGUUGCUGCCGGUGCGAAGGUGACUCCAGAUUCUGCAGUUUGGGCUCCGUAGCUGCUCAGCAAAUGUCAGCAGGUCCAGAAGCAAGGCUCCUCAGCUGCAGAGUGAAUGCAAAUGUCCCCAUUGUAAAUGGCCGUGGGGCCCAGGGCUCUGCAACCUUGGAUGCCCAGGAUCAGACCAGCUGUCCGCCGCUUUGGAAUCUGGGUUUAUGGGGGACCCGGGCCUCAUAAA